rnacentral:misc_RNA from 1 species
AAGUCGUAACAAGGUCUCCGUAGGUGAACCUGCGGAGGGAUCAUUACCGAGUGUGGGCCUCCAUGCCCAACCUCCCAACCCUUUGUCGAUUCAUAUCUGUUGCCUCGGGGGCGACCGGGACUCGCGCCGGGCAGGUCCCCCGAGCAGGUGCCCAACCAAAAUUACCACUGCGUCUUUGCGUCGAGUAUUGAAAAACAAUCAAUCAAA